GACGAACGCUGGCGGCGUGCUUAACACAUGCAAGUCGAACGGCAAGGCCCUGCUUUUGUGGGGUGCUCGAUUGGCGAACGCGUGAGUAGCACGUGAGUAACCUGCCCUUGACUUUGGGAUAACUUCAGGAAACUGGGGCUACUCCCGUAUAGCAUCUCCUCCUCCAUGGUGGGGGUUGGAAAUUUUAGGCGGUUGGGGAUGGAUUCGCGGCUUAACAGCUUGUUGGUGGGGUAGUUGCUUACCAAGGCUUUGACGGGUAGCCGGCCUGGGAGGGUGGACGGCGACAAUGGGACUGAGGUAGGGACCAGACGGCUACGGGAGGCAGCGGGGGGGAAUAUUGCACAAUGGGCGGAAGCGUGAUGCAGCAACGCCGCGUGCGGGAUGACGGCCUUCGGGUUGUGAACCGCUUUCGCCUGUGACGAAGCGGGAGUGACGGUAAUGAGUAAAGAAGCACCGGCUAACUACGUG
rnacentral:rRNA from 1 species